AUUGAACGCUGGCGGCAGGCCUAACACAUGCAAGUCGAACGGUAGCACAGAGAGCUUGCUCUCGGGUGACGAGUGGCGGACGGGUGAGUAAUGUCUGGGAAACUGCCCGAUGGAGGGGGAUAACUACUGGAAACGGUAGCUAAUACCGCAUAACGUCGCAAGACCAAAGUGGGGGACCUUCGGGCCUCACACCAUCGGAUGUGCCCAGAUGGGAUUAGCUAGUAGGUGGGGUAAUGGCUCACCUAGGCGACGAUCCCUAGCUGGUCUGAGAGGAUGACCAGCCACACUGGAACUGAGACACGGUCCAGACUCCUACGGGAGGCGGCAGUGGGGAAUAUUGCACAAUGGGCGCAAGCCUGAUGCAGCCAUGCCGCGUGUAUGAAGAAGGCCUUCGGGAUGUAAAGUACUUUCAGCGGGGAGGAAGGCGGUGAAGUUAAUAGCUUCACCGAUUGACGUUACCCGCAGAAGAAGCACCGGCUAACUCCGUGCCAGCCGCCGCAGUAA
rnacentral:rRNA from 1 species